rnacentral:rRNA from 1 species
AAAUUGAAGAGUUUGAUCAUGGCUCAGAUUGAACGCUGGCGGCAGGCCUAACACAUGCAAGUCGAACGGUAACAGGAAGCAGCUUGCUGCUUCGCUGACGAGUGGCGGACGGGUGAGUAAUGUCUGGGAAACUGCCUGAUGGAGGGGGAUAACUACUGGAAACGGUAGCUAAUACCGCAUAAUGUCGCAAGACCAAAGAGGGGGACCUUCGGGCCUCUUGCCAUCGGAUGUGCCCAGAUGGGAUUAGCUUGUUGGUGGGGUAACGGCUCACCAAGGCGACGAUCCCUAGCUGGUCUGAGAGGAUGACCAGCCACACUGGAACUGAGACACGGUCCAGACUCCUACGGGAGGCAGCAGUGGGGAAUAUUGCACAAUGGGCGCAAGCCUGAUGCAGCCAUGCCGCGUGUAUGAAGAAGGCCUUCGGGUUGUAAAGUACUUUCAGCGGGGAGGAAGGGAGUAAAGUUAAUACCUUUGCUCAUUGACGUUACCCGCAGAAGAAGCACCGGCUAACUCCGUGCCAGCAGCCGCGGUAAUACGGAGGGUGCAAGCGUUAAUCGGAAUUACUGGGCGUAAAGCGCACGCAGGCGGUUUGUUAAGUCAGAUGUGAAAUCCCCGGGCUCAACCUGGGAACUGCAUCUGAUACUGGCAAGCUUGAGUCUCGUAGAGGGGGUAGAAUUCCAGGUGUAGCGGUGAAAUGCGUAGAGAUCUGGAGGAAUACCGGUGGCGAAGGCGGCCCCCUGGACGAAGACUGACGCUCAGGUGCGAAAGCGUGGGGAGCAAACAGGAUUAGAUACCCUGGUAGUCCACGCCGUAAACGAUGUCGACUUGGAGGUUGUGCCCUUGAGGCGUGGCUUCCGGAGCUAACGCGUUAAGUCGACCGCCUGGGGAGUACGGCCGCAAGGUUAAAACUCAAAUGAAUUGACGGGGGCCCGCACAAGCGGUGGAGCAUGUGGUUUAAUUCGAUGCAACGCGAAGAACCUUACCUGGUCUUGACAUCCACGGAAGUUUUCAGAGAUGAGAAUGUGCCUUCGGGAACCGUGAGACAGGUGCUGCAUGGCUGUCGUCAGCUCGUGUUGUGAAAUGUUGGGUUAAGUCCCGCAACGAGCGCAACCCUUAUCCUUUGUUGCCAGCGGUCCGGCCGGGAACUCAAAGGAGACUGCCAGUGAUAAACUGGAGGAAGGUGGGGAUGACGUCAAGUCAUCAUGGCCCUUACGACCAGGGCUACACACGUGCUACAAUGGCGCAUACAAAGAGAAGCGACCUCGCGAGAGCAAGCGGACCUCAUAAAGUGCGUCGUAGUCCGGAUUGGAGUCUGCAACUCGACUCCAUGAAGUCGGAAUCGCUAGUAAUCGUGGAUCAGAAUGCCACGGUGAAUACGUUCCCGGGCCUUGUACACACCGCCCGUCACACCAUGGGAGUGGGUUGCAAAAGAAGUAGGUAGCUUAACCUUCGGGAGGGCGCUUACCACUUUGUGAUUCAUGACUGGGGUGAAGUCGUAACAAGGUAACCGUAGGGGAACCUGCGGUUGGAUCACCUCCUUA